UGGGAAGAAACCCAUGUUUUCUAAUGUGGUUGACUGUACCAGAUGAAUAAGCACCGGCUAACUCCGUGCCAGCAGCCGCGGUAAUACGGAGGGUGCAAGCGUUAUCCGGAUUCACUGGGUUUAAAGGGUGCGUACGCAGGUUGGUAAGUCCGUGGUGAAAUCUCCCAGCUGAACUUGGAAACUGCCGUGGAUACUAUCAAUCUUGAAUGUCGUGGAGGUAAGCGAAAUAUGUCAUGUAUCGGUGAAAUGCUUACAUAUGACAUAGAACACCAAUUGCUUACGCAGCUUACUACACGAAUAUUGACGCUGAGGCACGAAAGCGUGGGGAGCAAACAGGAUUAAAUACCCUGGUAGUCCACGCCCUACACGAUGGAUACUCGACAUCAGCGAUACACUGUUGGUGUCUGAGCGAAAGCAUUAAGUAUCCCACCUGGGAAGUACGAUCGCAAGAUUGAAACACAAAGGAAUUGGCGGGGGUCCGCACAACCGGUGGAGCAUGUGAUUUA
rnacentral:rRNA from 1 species